rnacentral:rRNA from 1 species
AGUGAACGCUGGCGGUAGGCCUAACACAUGCAAGUCGAACGGCAGCACAGUAAGAGCUUGCUCUUACGGGUGGCGAGUGGCGGACGGGUGAGGAAUACAUCGGAAUCUACUUUUUCGUGGGGGAUAACGUAGGGAAACUUACGCUAAUACCGCAUACGACCUACGGGUGAAAGCAGGGGAUCUUCGGACCUUGCGCGAUUGAAUGAGCCGAUGUCGGAUUAGCUAGUUGGCGGGGUAAAGGCCCACCAAGGCGACGAUCCGUAGCUGGUCUGAGAGGAUGGUGCAGCCGCAGGGGAACGAAAAGGGGACCAAGCCCCCACAGGGGGGAGGCGGGGGGAAGUGUGGAAAAAGGGGGGCAGGCCGUACCCAGCAGUCCCGGGGGGGGAAAGAGGGCGUGCGGGUUGAAAGCCCUUUUGUUGGGGAAAAAAAAACAGCGGGUUAAUCCCCGGUUUUUGGGAGGGUACCAAAAAAAAAAGCCCCGGCAAAGUUGGUG